GACGAACGCUGGCGGAGUGCUUAACACAUGCAAGUCGAACGAAGUGGCGAACGGGUGAGUAACGCGUAAUCAACCUGCCCUUCAGAGGGGGACAACAGUUGGAAACGACUGCUAAUACCGCAUACUGAAUGAGGGGAUUGCGUCUGAUUAGCUAGUUGGAGGGGUAACGGCAGACCAAGGCGGUGACCAGUAGCCGGUCUGAGAGGAUGAGGGGCCGCAUUGGGACUGAGACACGGCCCAGACGCCUACGGGAGGCAGCAGUGGGGAAUCUUUCGCAAUGGACGAAAGGCUGACGAGGCAACGGCGCGUGAGUGAUGACGGCCUUCGGGUUGUAAAGGUCUGUUAAUCGGGACGCGGUACCGGAAUAGAAAGCCACGGCUAACUACGUGCCAGCAGCCGCGGUAAUUC
rnacentral:rRNA from 1 species